rnacentral:rRNA from 1 species
UACGCAGGGUGCGAGCGUUGUCCGGAAUUAUUGGGCGUAAAGAGCUUGUAGGCGGUUUGUCGCGUCUGCUGUGAAAAUCCGGGGCUCAACCCCGGACUUGCAGUGGGUACGGGCAGACUAGAGUGUGGUAGGGGAGACUGGAAUUCCUGGUGUAGCGGUGGAAUGCGCAGAUAUCAGGGGGAACACCGAUGGCGAAGGCAGGUCUCUGGGCCACUACUGACGCUGAGAAGCGAAAGCAUGGGGGAGCGAACAGG